CACCGUGGACAGGCUUGGGGUGCCUGGACUUACCACUCUACAAUCGUGUUGUGUGUUGACUACAAUUAGCAAAGGCAAGAAGGUAAACUGCAGAAGCCAAACGGCAUAAUACACGGCAAAUCAUAGAACAAGUAUGGACAGGAUAUAAAUGGCUAUUCACGGGGUCUAAACAAUCUGAUACACAGUGGACAGCACACCAAGCAUCGACAGAGUUAACAGGACUAUUCUACUACAAAUCACAUGACAAAAAUAUGCUAUCCCUGUCAUAGAUCAACGACAGGUCCAAUUGCAUAAAUCUCGAACAAAUCUAGCGCAGGCAUGCUUUAGAGUCAACCAAGCAAACGGGGUCUACCUUGCUAGCCGGUGACGCCGUGGAACGGAGAUCACGGUAGUUGUUCACCACAUCGACGGAGAAGAGCUCCCUCCGUGCGCCUGAUGCCAUCGCGCGAGGAAAAGCUUGGGGUGCCUGGAUGCACAGAUCGACGAUACUGCAAGGAAACCAGCGAGACAACCUCAAGCACCAGCAAUGGCACGACGCACCAGCCAGUCAACCAAAACCACGAACAGAUCCCAAUCAGGAUGGAUCGAUCAGUAAACC
rnacentral:lncRNA from 1 species